rnacentral:lncRNA from 1 species
CUCGGCUGGGGGUUGACAAACAUGUUUUAUACACCUUUGAGGCCAACAGUUUCUAGGCCCCCCUAUGGGGUAGAACUAGUAAAGCAAGCAAAAGGUACAGAAGCAGAACGUCCUGCUGUUGGAACAUUUGUAAAACAAUAGUUGAUUAAUUGUUGUUUCUAAGAGACUCUCUAAGGGGAGGAGGUUUCUAAACUUCCUCCUUCUGAGUUCAUCUAAAGGGCAGGGAGGUGGGUCAAGCAGCAAUAUGGAGUCUGUCUUGCUAACAAGGGUCCUUCACAACGAAGUAACAUUUCGCUUGAGACUGUGGAGGACCGCGCGCCCAAACGGUGAGAUUUGAAAGUCCACAGAAGAUUUCUAUUUCCACAAAGCAUCAGAGAACUAACAAGGCAAUGAAUAAUUAUGGGACCAACAUCUAAGAGAAAACUAGUAAAAGUGAGCCUGGGAUGUGUGCUGCUUUUUCCUAGGGGCAACUGCCAGUUCCAGGUGAGUGGCUGUGAGGCUAAGGAUCUGAUCUCUGUGUACCACCCUGCCUAGCUCAAACUUGAAAAUUUUAAGGACAGGCAUGGUGGCACACACCUUAAUCCCAGCACUCAGGAGGCUGAGGCAGGAGGAUUGCCAUGAGUUCAAGGCCAGUCUAGGGUACAUAGUGAGGUCAAGGCCAGCCUAAACUACGUAGCAGGAGGCUGUCGCCAAAACUUAUUUUUGGAAAAUUUUAAAACAUUAACAUUUAUGAUGUCAUUGAAAUAAUUGGGCAUAAAUUUUACAAAAGGACUUUAAAACUUUUACUUUGGAAAUUACAAAAUAUUAUUGAAAUAAAUUAUGGAAAAACUCCAAAUAAAUGGUAUUCAUUGACUGGAAUACUUAAUAUUGGUAGGCAGCAGUAUCCCCCAAACUGAUCUAUACAUCCAUCAUAAUCCCUAUCAGGACUGUCCCUGGCUUCUUUGUGGAGACUGACUCGUUGACUCUAAAAAUUCACAUGGAAACUCAGAAGCCCCAAAAUAGACAAAACAGUCUUGGAAAAAAACAAAAAACAAAACAAACUAAAAACUUGGUUGGAAUACUCAUGCUUCCUACUUUUAAAUUUAAAGCAACAAAGGGCCAGGGAUUUAGCUCAGCGGCACCGCACCUGCCUCAAAAGCACAAGGCCCUGAGUUGGAUCCCCCGUUGAGGGGUGGGGGAUUUAAAGCAACAGUGGGGUGUGGUGAUCCUUAUGUGAAAUCCCAGCACUCUGAAAGGCUGAUGUAGGAGGAUCUUAAGUUUGAGCUCAGCUCGGGAAAUUUAGUGAUUUAGCAAGACCCUCUCUUGAAAAAAAAAAAAAAGGCUGGGGGCCAGGGAUUUGGCUUAUUGGUUCCACCACCUGCCUCAGAGGCUCAAGGUCCCAAGUUCAAUCCCCGGUACCAAAAAAAAUAGGCUGGGGAUGUAGCUCAGUGUGAAGGCCCCUGUGAACUUCAGUACCCAGAAUUGGGGGGAAAAAAAGUGCAACAGUAAUCAAGAGAGUGGAGAGUGUAAUACUGGCAUAAAGAUGUAUACAUCUGUUUCAAGAGAAUAGACUUGAGUCUAGAAACAACCCAGAGGUCUAUGAUCUACUGAUUUUCAGCAAGGCUGCCAAGACUAUUCAAUGGGAGAAAGAUAAUCUUUUCAACAAAUGAGGUUGGGACAUCUGGGUAGACACACAAAAAAUAGUGAAGUUGAGCUCUUACUUUAUACUAUGUACAAAAAUUUACUCAGAUGGGUCAAAGCCAGUCAAGCUGGCAUACAGCUGUCAUUCUUUUUACUUGGAAGGCUAAGGCAGGAAGAUUACUUAAGACCAGGAGUUUGAGACCAGCCUGGGCAACAUAGUAAGAUAUCAUUUCAAACAAAUAGACACUAAAAGGGGCUAGUGUGUGUCUAGCUCAUUAUUUGUUUGUUUUUGUUUUUUGUACUGGGAAUCAAACUCAGGACCUUGGGCUUGUGAGGCAGGCACCAGAACCACUGAGCUAAAUUCCCAGCUAGCUAGCUCAUUGUUAAAAGGCCUGCCUAAUAUGCAAGAACCCCUGAGUUUGAUCCCUAGCAUGGUAAAAAGAAACAAAACAAAAAAAUUCAGAAAACAGUCUUAAAUGUAACAAAAAAGAAAAUCUCUUAGAAAACAAGGGAGUAAGUUUGUAUGACAUUGGAUUUGUAUUCUCUUAAAUAUGAGAACAAAAGCAUAAGCAACAAAAUAAAAAAUAGAUAAAUUAGAUUUCAUCAAAAUAAGAAAGUUUUGUGGGGGAUUUAGGUCAGUGGCUGCCACCUGCCUUGCAAGUGCAAGGUCCUGAGUUCAAUCCCUGGUAAUAAAAAACAAAAGAGGGCCGGGGAUUUAACUCAGUGGUUCCAGCGCCUGCCUCGAAAGCGCAAGGUCCCAAGUUCGAUCCCCGCUACCAAAAAAAAAAAAAAAAAAAAAAAAAAAAAAGAAAGUUUAAAAAAAAAUAAGAAAGUUCUGUGAUCUUGUUGUGAUGGCACACACCUAUACAGUAAUCCCAGCACUCAGGAGGCUAAGGCCAAGGCAAGAGGAUCCAUGAGUUACAGGCUAACCUGAGCUACAUAGCAAGACUCUGGCUCAAAAAAGAAAGCAAUGCUGGAUGUGGUGGCACAUGUCUGUAAUCCCAGCAAUUGGGAGGCUGAGGCAGGAAGAUCGCCAUGAGUUUGAGGUCAGCCUGGGGUACAUAGCUCAAGGCCAGCUUGAACUACAUAGUGAGACCCUGUCUCAAAACAAAACAAAACCAAAAACCCCAAAGGACAAUUUAUAAAAGCAGAGAAAAUAUUUGCAAAUUAUGUAUCUGAUAAUGAACUUUCAUUUAGAUUGUAUUAAGAAAUUUUACCAUCCUGCUGCUGGCAAGCACAAGGAAUCGAGUUAGAUCCCCGGUAACUGAAAAAAAAAAAAAAAGAAAAAAGAAUUUUCACCAAAUUCGAUGGUAACCUGGGUAUGGUAGUGCAUGCUUGUAAUCCCAGCACUCAACAGGCUGAGGUAGAAAGAUCCUGAGUUUGAGGCCACCUUAGGCUAAAUAGAUCAAAACUGGUUUAGAUGACAUAACAAGACCUGGUCUCAAAAAACUAAAAUCCAUGGGCCAGGGAUUUAGCUCAGUGGUUUUGCCACCUCCUGUGCAAGCUCAAGGACCAGAGUUCAAUCCCUGGUACCAAAAAACAAAACAAAACAAAACAAAAAAACACACUAAAAUCUAAAAAACCAAACCAAACCAAACCACACACAAGGCAUCCAUACUCAGGGCAAGACCCUGUCUUUAAAAAAAAAUAAACCCAAACCAUAUCAAACAAAAUAAAAAAACUAAAUUACUAAAUUUAAAAGUUGGCAAAGGGGCCAAAUAAAUGACUCUGUAAAUAAAACAUACAACUGGCCAGUAGCACAUGAAAAUAUGCUCAAUGUACAGUAUUUGGGGAAAUGCAAAUCAAAACUAUAAUAAUACUACUUUAUACACACUAGGAAUAUUACUGGGUGUUUGGGUGGUUGGGACUCCUCCCAGAGGUGCUUUCUAUGUUCUUUCUGUCUUGAACAAAGAAUUGGUCAAGACAAGCACAAAAGGUAGCAAGAUUUUACAUUUAUUAAAGGUAGGAAAAGAUACAUGCUCUGCAAAGUGAUUAUGGGCCAAUUAAAAGUAUGAAAAGAAGUACACUGCAGGUUGAGAGUGGACCAUCAUGAAAGAACUCAGUGGCCAUGAGCUUAAUGGCAAUAAUUUUUAAAAAAAUUUUUAAUUUAAUUUUUUUUUGGUAAUGGGGAUCAAACUCCAGUCCUUGCACUUGCUCGGCAGGUGGCAAAACCACUGAGCUAAAUCCCUGGGCCCCUGGCGCUCUUUUUCCCCCCCUACUCUUCAAGCUGAUGUCAGAUCUAGGCCAUCCUAUUAAAAACCUGCUUGAUUUCUCAUGAGAAGAAUUGAAAACAGCAUGUUCUGAUUGUAUCAGAUGCAGUAUUUGGGCUCAUGUCUCCUGGAUCUCUGUGUUUGACGGGUCACACCUACUUGCCCAGCCAGUUUGGCUAUUCUCUAAUCUUCUGCCUCAUUUCCCUCUGAGAAACAUAAAUCCCCAUAAUUCUUUGUAGGGUGCUGAGGGUGUGGAGGCCUCUAUCUUCACAUAAUGACUACCAGCUGAAAGCGGCUGUAGGCCCUACCUACUGGGUAUUAUGUGCUGUAGACUACUGUACUUUGGGAUGUUUUGGCUCACUGGCUGGGUUGAAAAGGAAAAGAUUCCUGUUAGGAGACAAUGAGAAAAGUUAGUGCCCAUUGUGAGGAACUGCUGAGCUGCCUGUUCAGUGGGAGAAAGCUUGGUGAAUUUAUCAGGAGCAUCAUGGGCUGUAGUCUGGAUCACUAUCUUGAAUGGAUAAACUUUACUAUUAGGUUGAGGAUGCAGAGCUCAAAUAUGAGAAGGAGGAGUUGAGAAUAUUUCCUGGUCAGUCUUAAAAGGUGUGGGCUAUGACAGAUUUAGCAAUUAGAGAUUUCCAUGCUUCCUGCGGUAGAGAAAGUAUGGCAAAGAGGGAUAUUAAAUUACCAAGAGCCUGAGAGCCGUAGCCCUAACAAGAUUACCCACAUUAUGGAUGUAAUUAAAAACAUACAGAUGCCCAUUUAAGCUGUGGUGGAUUAGGGGUCAUUUGUAACUCUACUUAUCAGUAUCUGAGGCAGUGCUGGAUUUAUUUUUUGAAGAGGCACCUCA